UCAGUCAGUUGUGAAAGCCCAGGGCUCAACCUUGGAAUGGCAAUUGAAACUGGCUAACUAGAGUCGAAGAGAGGGAAGUGGAAUUUCCGGUGUAGCGGUGAGAUGCGUAGAUAUCGGAAAGAACACCGGUGGCGAAGGCGACUUCCUGGCUUCAGACUGACGCUGAGGCGCGAAAGCGUGGGUAGCGAACAGGAUUAGAUACCCUGGUAGUCCACGCUGUCAACGAUGAGUACUAGCUGUGGGCUGGCAAAGACCGGUCGGUAGCGAAGCUAACGCACUAAGUACUCCGCCUGGGGAUUACGGCCGCAAGGCUAAAACUCAAAGAAAUUGACGGGGGCCCGCACAAGCGGUGGAGCAUGUGGUUUAAUUCGAUGCAACGCGAAAAACCUUACCUACCCUUGACAUCCUGAGAAGCUGGUGGAGACACUGGUGUGCCUACGGGAGCUCAGAGACAGGUGCUGCAUGGCUGUCGUCAGCUCGUGUCGUGAGAUGUUGGGUUAAGUCCCGUAACGAGCGCAACCCUUGUGCCUAGUUGCCAUCAAUUUGGUUGGGGACUCUAGGCAGACUGCCGGUGACAAACCGGAGGAAGGUGGGGAUGACGUCAAGUCCUCAUGGCCCUUAUGGGUAGGGCUACACACGUGCUACAAUGGGCCGGACAGAGGGUAGCGAAGCUGCGAAGUGGAGCCAAUCUCAAAAACCGGCUCGUAGUCCGGAUUGGAGUCUGCAACUCGACUCCAUGAAGUCGGAAUCGCUAGUA
rnacentral:rRNA from 1 species